UUGACGGAUUGGCAAGCGUACCAAAUUGUUCAAGUAAUAUAAUUGGUAAAACCCAAUAUCGUUCUUCCCAAGAGACUCGAAAGGCUUUCUCGUUCACGUGAAUUAAAAUAAUAAGACUUGAAAAUAAAAAUAAUUAAUUUGAUUUGAGAACAAAAAUAUUAACAUGCAAAAGAGAAUGAUUCAAUUGACAAAAGAAAACAAUGGAUGAAUGGAGUUGUUGGGGGUUUACAAUUUCAUCUAAUCUGCUCUUUCUUAUCUACUCCUCUUGAAUUAUUAGUUUGAUAAAUUAAUUUUCAUGCAACUUUCUUAGCCUACCCUUAACCCGAUCCCUCGGCGAAAAAAGCCUAAUACU
rnacentral:lncRNA from 1 species